rnacentral:misc_RNA from 1 species
GAUGAAGAACGUAGCGAAAUGCGAUACUUGGUGUGAAUUGCAGAAUCCCGUGAACCAUCGAGUCUUUGAACGCAAGUUGCGCCCGAAGCCAUUUGGUUGAGGGCACGUCUGCCUGGGCGUCACAUAUCGUUGCCCGAUGCCUAUUGUACUGUGAUAGGAAAUUCUAGGGCGAAAGAUGGCUUCCCGUGAGCGUUGUUGCCUCGCGGUUGGUUGAAAAUUGAGUCAUUGGUAGGGUGUGCCAUGAUAGAUGGUGGUCGAGUUUGCACGAGACCGAUCAUGUGUGCGCUCCCCAAAAUAUGGACUCUUUGACCCCACACGCGUCUUUUGACGCUCAUGACGAGACCUCAGGUCAGGCGGGGCUACCCGCUGAGUUUAAGCAUAUCAAUAAGCGGAGGA